rnacentral:rRNA from 1 species
CAGUAGCCGCGGGAAUACGUAGGGUGCGAGCGUUAAUCGGAAUUACUGGGCGUAAAGCGUGCGCAGGCGGUGAGUUAAGUCUGCUGUGAAAUCCCCGGGCUCAACCUGGGAAUGGCAGUGGAUACUGGCUCGCUAGAGUGUGUCAGAGGAUGGUGGAAUUCCGCGUGUAGCAGUGAAAUGCGUAGAUAUGCGGAGGAACACCGAUGGCGAAGGCAGCCCCCUGGGCCAACACUGACGCUCAUGCACGAAAGCGUGGGGAGCAAACAGGAUUAGAUACCCGGGUAGUCCCUGUCUCUUAUAC